GUGGUAAUUAAGGUGCAGUGGUAAUUAAGAUGUAGUGGUAAUUAAGGUGCAGUGGUAAUUAAGGUGCAGUGGUAAUUAAGAUGUAGUGGUAAUUAAGGUGCAGUGGUAAUUAAGGUGCAGUGGUAAUGCAGUAUUUGUUGAUGUGAUGUCACAGGGCUUCUAGCUGCUGUCUAUAGAUCUAUAGUAUGGAUGUAGUGGUAAUUAAGGUGCAGUGGUAAUUAAGAUGUAGUGGUAAUUAAGGUGCAGUGGUAAUUAAGGUGCAGUGGUAAUGCAGUAUUUGUUGAUGUGAUGUCACAGGGCUUCUAGCUGCUGUCUAUAGAUCUAUAGUAUGGAUGUAGUGGUAAUUAAGGCACAGUGGUAAUUAAGGCACAGUGGUAAUUAAGGCACAGUGGUAAUUAAGGUGCAGUGGUAAUUAAGGUGCAGUGGUAAUGCAGUACUUGUUGAUGUGAUGUCGCAGGGCUUCUAGCUGCUGUCUCUCGGGGGCAGUGAUCAUCUCCUCCACCUCUGUCAGCUGUUCAGGCUCCGCCCCACUGGC